rnacentral:rRNA from 1 species
GGGUUGUGAGGUUAAGCGACUAAGCGUACACGGUGGAUGCCCUGGCAGUCAGAGGCGAUGAAGGACGUGCUAAUCUGCGAUAAGCGCCGGUAAGGUGAUAUGAACCGUUAUAACCGGCGAUUUCCGAAUGGGGAAACCCAGUGUGACUCGUCACACUAUCAUUAACUGAAUCCAUAGGUUAAUGAGGCGAACCGGGGGAACUGAAACAUCUAAGUACCCCGAGGAAAAGAAAUCAACCGAGAUUCCCCCAGUAGCGGCGAGCGAACGGGGAGGAGCCCAGAGCCUGAAUCAGCAUGUGUGUUAGUGGAAGCGUCUGGAAAGGCGCGCGAUACAGGGUGACAGCCCCGUACACAAAAGCGCAUGUGCUGUGAGCUCGAUGAGUAGGGCGGGACACGUGGUAUCCUGUCUGAAUAUGGGGGGACCAUCCUCCAAGGCUAAAUACUCCUGACUGACCGAUAGUGAACCAGUACCGUGAGGGAAAGGCGAAAAGAACCCCGGCGAGGGGAGUGAAAAAGAACCUGAAACCGUGUACGUACAAGCAGUGGGAGCACAGGUUUACCUGUGUGACUGCGUACCUUUUGUAUAAUGGGUCAGCGACUUAUAUUCUGUAGCAAGGUUAACCGAAUAGGGGAGCCGGAGGGAAACCGAGUCUUAAUUGGGCGUUAAGUUGCAGGGUAUAGACCCGAAACCCGGUGAUCUAGCCAUGGGCAGGUUGAAGGUUGGGUAACACUAACUGGAGGACCGAACCGACUAAUGUUGAAAAAUUAGCGGAUGACCUGUGGCUGGGGGUGAAAGGCCAAUCAAACCGGGAGAUAGCUGGUUCUCCCCGAAAGCUAUUUAGGUAGCGCCUCGUGAACUCAUCUCCGGGGGUAGAGCACUGUUUCGGCUAGGGGGCCAUCCCGGCUUACCAACCCGAUGCAAACUGCGAAUACCGGAGAAUGUUAUCACGGGAGACACACGGCGGGUGCUAACGUCCGUC